rnacentral:rRNA from 1 species
GAUGAACGCUAGCGGCAGGCUUAACACAUGCAAGUCGAGGGGUAUAGGUUUUCGGACCUAGAGACCGGCGCACGGGUGCGUAACGCGUAUGCAAUCUACCUUUCACAGAGGGAUAGCCCAGAGAAAUUUGGAUUAAUACCUCAUAGUAUUAUGAAAUGGCAUCAUUUUAUAAUUAAAGUUCCAACGGUGAAAGAUGAGCAUGCGUCCCAUUAGCUAGAUGGUAAGGUAACGGCUUACCAUGGCAACGAUGGGUAGGGGUCCUGAGAGGGGGAUCCCCCACACUGGUACUGAGACACGGACCAGACUCCUACGGGAGGCAGCAGUGAGGAAUAUUGGUCAAUGGACGCAAGUCUGAACCAGCCAUGCCGCGUGCAGGAUGACGGUCCUAUGGAUUGUAAACUGCUUUUGUACGAGAAGAAACAUCCCGACGUGUCGGGACUUGACGGUAUCGUAAGAAUAAGGAUCGGCUAACUCCGUGCCAGCAGCCGCGGUAAAAC